AAUAAGUGUAGUUUUGCACUGUUCAUGUCCAACGUUUGACCGUUUGUCUUAUUUGAAAAAAUUUUUAUGACUAAUACUUUUAUUGUUAUUAGAUGAUAAAACAUGAAUAGUACUUUAUGCUUGACUACUUUUUUAAAUUUUUUUCAUAAAUUUUUCAAAUAAGACGAACGGUCAAACGUUGGACACGGAUACCCACGGCUGCACUUAUU
rfam:Oryza glumipatula chromosome 9, whole genome shotgun sequence.